AGCGAACGCUGGCGGCAGGCCUAAUACAUGCAAGUCGAACGGAUCCUUCGGGAUUAGUGGCGGACGGGUGAGUAACACGUGGGAACGUGCCCUUUGGUUCGGAACAACUCAGGGAAACUUGAGCUAAUACCGGAUAAGCCCUUCGGGGAAGAUUAUCGCCAUUGGAGCGGCCCGCGUCUGAUUAGCUAGUUGGUGGGGUAAAGGCCUACCAAGGCGACGAUCAGUAGCUGGUCUGAGAGGAUGAUCAGCCACACUGGGACUGAGACACGGCCCAGACUCCUACGGGAGGCAGCAGUAGGGAAUCUUGCGCAAUGGGCGAAAGCCUGACGCAGCCAUGCCGCGUGAAUGAUGAAGGUCUUAGGAUUGUAAAAUUCUUUCAGCGGGGACGAUAAUGACGGUACCCGCAGAAGAAGCCCCGGC
rnacentral:rRNA from 1 species